UUAACACAAAUUUUUCUAUGUUUAUGUUAAAACUUAUAAUUUUUCGAAAAUAUUUUGGAUUAAAAAGAUAGUUUUGCAAUUAGUUUCCUCUUUGUUUUGAGCAUUUAACUUUUUUCACGCUUAUUUUGAUUUUAAACCCUUAAAAAAACGCUAAAAAACAUUACCAUUUUUUUUUGGUUACGUCGUUUUUUUGUUCGUUCAUUCGUUAUUAUUUGUGUUGUUGUCUUCUUAUUGUCGUCGACGACGACACAACGAUGAUGAUGACGAUGUUUAAUAUUAUUGCCGCUGUUGUUCUUGUUGUUGUUGUUAUUAAUGGUUAUUUCUUUUUUCCUUUACGACAUACAAACAUACAUACACACCCUAUCUCUAAACAUAUACAUUAUUUUUUCUUUUCUACAUUAUACACACAAUCAAAUAGAAUUUGUUUGUUUGUAGAGAAGAAGGGGAAAAGGGAAGUUGGCAGCGCUGCGCGCAGAGAGUAUACAAAAACCUCUAACAACAAAAACAACAAUACACAAGCGUGGUGUAAAGCAUAUAAAGCAAAGUAUGUAUGAGUUUGUAUGUAUGUAUAUAUAGAAAAAAAGAAAACCAACAACAACAACAACAAAAACUCUGCCUUUAACGAUUGUAUAUGGAUAUAUGGAUGGUAAAGGCAAACGUAUUAGUGGCCAAGGGCUAGUAGUAUAGCAGCAAGCAGCAGUAGUAGGCAGGCAAGCAAUAAACAUACGGUAAAGAAACGUCGUUUGCAUUGCAUUGUGUUGAAUUGUGUGUUUUUCUUCUUGUUUUUUCAUUUUUUCCCAUUUUACACACAGCAGACUGUGUAUAUUGUGUGAAUAUUGUGCUCUUUCUUGUGUGUAUAUUUUAUAAUAGAAUAUAGUGUGUAGAAAUAAAAAAAGAAACAAAAAGUACAACAAAAAUACAGAAAAAAAAGAAAAUAAACCAAGCAAGCCAAAACCAAAGAAGUUCCUCGUCGUCGUUUGUCGUAAUUCAAAGCGCGCCCUAUAAUAAUAAAACAGCAUACAAAAAAAGUUUCUUUUUUUUUCGUACAAAAAAGAUUUUUUCCAACUUUUUUUUACGUAUUAAACAGCAGUUAGCAAAUAAAAUAAUAAAUAAACCUGCGCAACGGAAUUAAUAAAAAGCCAAAAAUAUACAAGAAAAUAUAAAGCAAAGUGAAGCCAGCAAAAGGAAUAAAAAAAAGUAAUGUAACAAACAGUGUUGCAUACA